AGCGGAGAUCUCAACGCCUGAUCUCGGAGAACGUGCCUUCAGCCACGUCCGUUCUUCGUGCCACCGCCUAGACCACCUUCAAGAUGAACAUACCCUACCCAAGGUUCAAGGUUAUGCUGCAUACUCACUUGGACGGCCACAUACGCCAUACGACGAUCAUGGAGUACGCAAAGAAGAAGAAAAUCGAUCUCGGCUAUGCCAACCUUCAAGACUGCUUGAGGAAAACAAGGCCAGUUAAUCCCAGCACACUCCAGAACUACCUGAAGGAGAUGCCCAACUUCCUGAGAGUCAUUGUUGGCGAUCGUGAUGCAUUGACGCGGAUUGCGUACGAGGCCGCCGUGGACCAGGCCAACUGCGGCGUCAUCUACAGCGAGAUGCGCCUGUUCGCCCAAAUGAUGAGCAGCAGCAUGUCGAGCCUGCCCAAGGGCUCGGGCCCCAUGACCCUCAACACGACGCGGGAGGUGGUCGACGCCACGCUUGCGGGAUUCAAAAAGGCCGAGGAGGAGUGCGGCAUCAAGGCACGUCUCGUGCUCGCCUGCUUCAGAGACAAGCCCGAGUGGGCUGACGAGGUUGUGACCCUGUGCCAGGAGUACAAAGGCAAAGGAGUUGUCGGCAUGGACGUGUGCGGAGUUUUCGCCCCGAAGCAGACCGAAAAGGAGGGCGAGGAGAUCCUCCAUCCGCAGGUCAUCAGCGCCUUCAAGAAAGCGGCAACUCUGGGCGUGCACCGGACGGCUCACGCGGGCGAAGCCGGACCUCCGAGCAACAUCGCGCGCGCCAUCACGGAGUUGGGGGCCGAGCGCAUAGGGCACGGCUACGCAGCCAUGCGCGACGGUGGCGACGCCUUCAAGCUGGCUAUAUCUAAGAACAUCCACUUCGAGGUCUGCCCCAACAGCAGCUACCUGACCGGAGCCGUGAAACCGAGCGAGGAACACCCUAUGAUGGCUUGCAAGAAACAUAACGCCAGCUUCUCGAUGAGCACCGACGACCCGACCAUCACGCAAACGAAUAUCGACGACGAAUACUGGCUGGCGCUCAGGCUCGGACUCACGCCCGAGGACAUCAUUGAGACGAACCACAACGCCAUUAAGAACUGCUUCCUGCCGCCGGACGAGAAAGAAUCCCUGCGCAAGUGGUUUGACAAGCUCAACGGGCUCUCGUAGGCUGUCGUUGUCACACGCAGCCGCGCCUUCGAGGUGAAGAAUGCCGCUCCAAACUUCACCGAGAAUCCAUCUCUCGUACGUAGGCAGCGACAAGGCCGCACGUUUUCUGGCAACCGAUCGUCGUCGAUGGUGGAAGCAAAAUUAAAGCACUGGC